UUGCCCUCUGUGCACGCGUAGAGCUUGCUCACCGGGAAAGAGGAGUGGCGAACGGGUGAGUAACACGUGGGUAACCUGCCCAUCAGAAGGGGAUAACACUUGGAAACAGGUGCUAAUACCGUAUAACAAUCCAAACCGCAUGGUUUCUUUUUGAAAGGCGCUUUACGGUGCCGCUGAUGGAUGGACCCGCGGUGCAUUAGCUAGUUGGUGAGGUAACGGCUCACCAAGGCCACGAUGCAUAGCCGACCUGAGAGGGUGAUCGGCCACAUUGGGACUGAGACACGGCCCAAACUCCUACGGGAGGCAGCAGUAGGGAAUCUUCGGCAAUGGACGAAAGUCUGACCGAGCAACGCCGCGUGAGUGAAGAAGGUUUUCGGAUCGUAAAACUCUGUUGUUAGAGAAGAACAAGGGUGAGAGUAACUGUUCACCCCUUGACGGUAUCUAACCAGAAAGCCACGGCUAACUACGUGCCAGCAGCCGCGGUAAUACGUAGGUGGCAAGCGUUGUCCGGAUUUAUUGGGCGUAAAGCGAGCGCAGGCGGUUUCUUAAGUCUGAUGUGAAAGCCCCCGGCUCAACCGGGGAGGGUCAUUGGAAACUGGGAGACUUGAGUGCAGAAGAGGAGAGUGGAAUUCCAUGUGUAGCGGUGAAAUGCCGUAGAUCAA
rnacentral:rRNA from 1 species